rnacentral:rRNA from 1 species
GUACACGCUGUGACUAGCAUAUCAAUAAGCGGAGGAAAAGAAACUAACAAGGAUUCCCCUAGUAACGGCGAGUGAAGCGGGAAGAGCUCAAAUUUGAAAUCUUAAAGGGUUUCCCUUUACGAAUUGUAGUUUAAAGAAGUGUUUUCUGUUGAGGUUUUGGUAAAAGUUCUUUGGAAUAGGACAUCAUAGAGGGUGAGAAUCCCGUAUUUGACCUUUACUUUCAACUUUGUGAUACACUUUCAAAGAGUCGGAUUGUUUGGGAAUGCAGUCCAAAAUGGGUGGUAAAUUUCAUCUAAAGCUAAAUAUUGGCGAGAGACCGAUAGCGAACAAGUACCGUGAGGGAAAGAUGAAAAGAACUUUGAAAAGAGAGUUAAACAGUACGUGAAAUUGUCAAAAGGGAAGCGUUUGACACCAGUGUUGUUUUUCUGAAAAUCAAUUAAAGAACUGUUUAUGCUAAGUUGUUUAGACUUUAUCAGCUAUCUGUUUAGUUUUGAGCUUUUCUUUAAUGCACUUUUCAGAUAACAAGUCAACAUCAAUUUCUUUUGCUGUAAAAAAGCUUGAGGAAGGUGGCUUGAGAUUCGUCUUAAGUGUUUAUAGCCUCUUGCCUAUGCAGUCGGAGAGAUUGAGGUCUGCAGCGUAGAUCCUUCGGGGCUAAAUGCAUUUGUGCUAAGUUAUAGCAUUUUAUAGACAACUUGUUGACUAUGAUUUGUCUUGUAGCUUACUCGCUUAUGUUAUUUUACCUACGCUUAGGAUGUUGACGAGACUGUCGAUCUC